UGGGGAAUAUUGCACAAUGGGCGAAAGCCUGAUGCAGCAACGCCGCGUGAGUGAUGAAGGUCUUCGGAUUGUAAAGCUCUGUCUUUUGGGACGAUAAUGACGGUACCAAAGGAGGAAGCCACGGCUAACUACGUGCCAGCAGCCGCGGUAAUACGUAGGUGGCGAGCGUUGUCCGGAUUUACUGGGCGUAAAGGGUGCGUAGGCGGAUGUUUAAGUGAGAUGUGAGAUACCCGGGCUUAACUUGGGUGCUGCAUUUCAAACUGGAUAUCUAGAGUGCAGGAGAGGAGAAUGGAAUUCCUAGUGUAGCGGUGAAAUGCGUAGAGAUUAGGAAGAACACCAGUGGCGAAGGCGAUUCUCUGGACUGUAACUGACGCUGAGGCACGAAAGCGUGGGUAGCAAACAGGAUUAGAUACCCUGGUAGUCCACGCCGUAAACGAUGAGUACUAGGUGUAGGAGGUAUCGACCCCUUCUGUGCCGCAGUAAACACAUUAAGUACUCCGCCUGGGAAGUACGAUCGCAAGAUUAAA
rnacentral:rRNA from 1 species